AAGGAGGGAGAGCUGUAGCUGGCCCUAGGCACGUGCACGCUUUCUUUCUGGACUUUGGUCGUAUGGGCGCGGAGGGUCAACCCUCUGCGUCUUCAUAUGCCCCUCUUCGUGUAGAAAGUCUUUGAAUGUUUUUACUAUCAUCGAGUCGCGACUUCCAGGAGACGCGAUUCUUUGAGACAAAAGUUAUUACAACUUUCAGCAAUGGAUCUCUUGGCUCUCGCAUCGAUGAAGAACGCAGCGAAUAGCGAUAUGUAAUGUGAAUUGCAGAUCUACAGUGAAUCAUCGAAUCUUUGAACGCACCUUGCGCUCCUCGGUGUUCCGAGGAGCAUGCCUGUUUGAGCGUCAGUAAAUUCUCAACUCCUCUCGAUCGACUUCGAGUGGAGCUUGGAUGGUGGGGGCUGCCGGAGACCUGAAUAUUCGUGUUCGGGACUCGGGCUCCUCUGAAAUGUAUUGGCUUGCGGUCUGUUUUCGACUUUGCAUGACAAGGCUUUUGGCGUGAUAAUGAUCGCCGCUCGCCGAAGUGCAUGAAUGAAACCGUGCCGUGCCUCUAAUCCG
rnacentral:rRNA from 1 species